UACGGGGGGGGGCAAGCGUUGUUCGGAAUUACUGGGCGUAAAGGGCUCGUAGGCGGCCAACUAAGUCAGACGUGAAAUCCCUCGGCUUAACCGGGGAACUGCAUCUGAUACUGGAUGGCUUGAGUUCGGGAGAGGGAUGCGGAAUUCCAGGUGUAGCGGUGAAAUGCGUAGAUAUCUGGAGGAACACCGGUGGCGAAGGCGACAUCCUGGACCGGUAUUGACGCUGAGGAGCGAAAAGCGUGGGGAGCGAACAGG
rnacentral:rRNA from 1 species